rnacentral:misc_RNA from 1 species
GGAUGAAGAACGUAGCGAAAUGCGAUAAGUAAUGCGAAUUGCAGAAUUCAGUGAGUCAUCGAAUCUUUGAACGCACAUUGCGCCCUGUGGUAUUCCGCAGGGCAUGCCUGUUCGAGCGUCAUUUCAACCCUCAAGCCUCGCUUGGUGUUGGGCCCUGCCCGCCGCGGCCGGCCCUAAAGAUAGUGGCGGCGCCGCCUGGCCCUCAGCGUAGUACAGCUCUCGCUCCAGGGUCCGGCGGCAGCCUGCCAGAACCCCCCAACUCUGUGGUUGACCUCGGAUCAGGUAGGGAUACCCGCUGAACUUAAGCAUAUCAAUAAGCGGAGGA